rnacentral:rRNA from 1 species
CCUACGGGGGGCAGCAGUAGGGAAUAUUGCUCAAUGGGGGAAACCCUGAAGCAGCAACGCCGCGUGAAGGAUGAAGGUUUUCGGAUUGUAAACUCCUUUUGUUAGGGAAGAAAAUGACGGUAUCUAACGAAUAAUCACCGGCUAACGCCGUGAAAGCAGCCGCGGUAAUACGGAGGGUGCAAGCGUUACUCGGAAUAACUGGGCGUAAAGAGCACGUAGGCGGGAUAGCAAGUCAGAUGUGAAAUCUUAUGGCUCAACCAUAGAACUGCAGUUGAAACUGUUAGUCUUGAGUAUGGGAGAGGGAGGUGGAAUUCUUGGUGUAGGGGUAAAAUCCGUAGAGAUCAAGAGGAACACUCAUUGCGAAGGCGACCUGCUAGAACAUAACUGACGCUGAUGCGCGAAAGCGUGGGUAGCAAACAGGAUUAGAUACCCGUGUAGUC